rnacentral:lncRNA from 1 species
GUCCAGGCUAAUGGAGAUGACUCAGGAGGGGCAGGACCCCCACCCGCACACAGGGCUGCAGGGAGGAGGCCAUGACUCAGUUCUGCUGCUCCCCAGCUUUGUGUCUGUGUGCUUGUCCCUUGACCACCAGGAGCUUUAGUUUCCUCAAGAGGGCCUCCUAGGUCUGGUGCCCUUGGAAAAAAGCAAGGCCCACGGCCUAACCCCAGGACAAGGGUGCCUUAGCCCAGGCUCAAGGGGGCUCUGGGGAAGGUCAGAUCUGUCCUGCCCACCCCUGCCUGGCUGAGCACGAAGGUGCCAACCACCAGCUGAGCAGCCUCGAGCCAGGCUUUCUCCUUCUCCAUCAGAGCUUGGGGUUAAAGGCAGGAGUGCUGAGGCCCUUUCCCUUCCAUCCACCGCCUCUCCUGUACCUCGGGCUGGGCCCUCUUCCUCCCACAGCUCUGGGGUCCUGUGCCCCGAAGAGCUUCCUUCCUCCUUCCACACGCCUCCCAGUGCCUCCCAGGAUUGCAACUUGGCGGAACUGAGCAGGGAGAAGCAGCAGCUUCAAGAACACGAGGAGGGAAGAAACAGAAAAUCAUCAAAGAGGAAAAUUAACGGCUGGAGAGGGCAUUGUUAACCCUUAUGGCUUGGCUCACCUGGCUUUCCACCCCGCAGCUCCGCGUGCACCCGCCAAAGCGGCUGAGUCUUUUUAUGACUACAACUCCAAGAAGGGAAAAAAGACGCGAAAAGAAGAGGGGGGGAAAAAACCAAACCAGGAGGCAGAGGAGAAAAAAGCAAAAGAAAAGAGAAAGAGAAUUAAACCAUUAAUCUGCCUGGAUUUUCCACUUCACAGAGUAAUCAGUUUGGAAGUGACUGAAAUAAAGUGGAAUGUACGAUUCCCACCAUCUCCUCCCUCCAGUCCACAUUUCUUAUUUACAGAAAAACGGGGAGCCAGAGAGGCGGCCUCCUUGCCCCCCACAAAGGCCUCCAGUGUCCGCUCGAGACGAGGACAAGGACCCCAGCCCUCAGCCGCAGCUGCCCGAUGCCUCGACACCCGGGCGACGGCCGCCCUGAGCUGGAGGUGCAAAGCCAAGAUGAUUUAAUUUAUAGAAAGGACAAGGAUGUCGUGUAGCAGAUUUAAUCAUCGGAGAGUUUAAAAAAAAAUAAGGACCGGGCUAAUGUCGUAAUUUACAUUUCAGGAUAAUAAAGAGAGAAAGACAGACA